UCUUUCAUUUACCAAGUUUAUUUUCUUUUUCUAAGUGUGAAAGUAGAGGGAGAAUGCAGAAGUGAGAGAUAAGUGCAAAGUUCUUCACAAUCUUCAUCUUCUUCACAAAAUUGCCCUAAUAUUACCCCUAGCACCACCAUCACUACAUCUUUGGCUCUUAUUUUCUUCAUUAAAGAGAUACGGGAAUUGGUAAAAAUUUACAAUGAAAUGGGAACAAAUCCGCUUGAUCGGAAUCGCUGCCAGGAAAUUGCUGCAAAUUAUAGGUGCUGCAGUGAUUCCACAAGAUCAAGUUGCUUCUGCAGGCACAAUGAAUUAACUUGUUGAUCUUUCAGAUACACCUGUUUUAAAAAUUGGAAGCUAUACAGUUCUAGAAGGUUGUCCUUUUCCCUUACCGUGUGUUUGGGUAACUCAUUUAAAAAUUUAAUUACAUCGAUUAAAUUCCUUGAUUUAUAAAAUAUCUUAUUUCUUUCAA